AAAUUGAAGAGUUUGAUCAUGGCUCAGAUUGAACGCUGGCGGCAGGCCUAACACAUGCAAGUCGAACGGUAACAGGAAAAAGCUUGCUUUUUUGCUGACGAGUGGCGGACGGGUGAGUAAUGUCUGGGAAACUGCCUGAUGGAGGGGGAUAACUACUGGAAACGGUAGCUAAUACCGCAUAACGUCGCAAGACCAAAGAGGGGGACCUUCGGGCCUCUUGCCAUCGGAUGUGCCCAGAUGGGAUUAGCUAGUAGGUGGGGUAACGGCUCACCUAGGCGACGAUCCCUAGCUGGUCUGAGAGGAUGACCAGCCACACUGGAACUGAGACACGGUCCAGACUCCUACGGGAGGCAGCAGUGGGGAAUAUUGCACAAUGGGCGCAAGCCUGAUGCAGCCAUGCCGCGUGUAUGAAGAAGGCCUUCGGGUUGUAAAGUACUUUCAGCGGGGAGGAAGGGAGUAAAGUUAAUACCUUUACUCAUUGACGUUACCCGCAGAAGAAGCACCGGCUAACUCCGUGCCAGCAGCCGCGGUAAUACGGAGGGUGCAAGCGUUAAUCGGAAUUACUGGGCGUAA
rnacentral:rRNA from 1 species